UACGUAGGGAGCAAGCGUUGUUCGGAUUUACUGGGCGUAAAGGGCGCGUAGGCGGCCACCGCAAGUCGACUGUGAAAUCUCCGGGCUUAACCCGGAAAGGUCAGCCGAUACUGCGGGGCUAGAGUGCAGAAGGGGCAACUGGAAUUCUCGGUGUAGCGGUGAAAUGCGUAGAUAUCGAGAGGAACACCUGCGGCGAAGGCGGGUUGCUGGGCUGACACUGACGCUGAGGCGCGAAAGCUGGGGGAGCAAACGGG
rnacentral:rRNA from 1 species